rnacentral:rRNA from 1 species
GCAUCGAUGAAGAACGCAGCGAAAUGCGAUAAGUAAUGUGAAUUGCAGAAUUCAGUGAAUCAUCGAAUCUUUGAACGCACCUUGCGCUCCUUGGUAUUCCGAGGAGCAUGCCUGUUUGAGUGUCGUGUAAUUCUCAACCUAUAAAUCCUUGUGGUUUUUAGGCUUGGACUUGGAGGCUUUUGCUGGCUUUACCGUCGGCUCCUCUUAAACGCAUUAGCUUGAUUCCUUGCGGAUCGGCUCUCAGUGUGAUAAUUAUCUGCGCUGUGACCGUGAAGCGUUUGGCGAGCUUCUAACCGUCUCUUCGAGACAAACACUUUGACAUCUGACCUCAAAUCAGGUAGGACUACCCGCUGAACUUAAGCAUAUCAAUAAGCGGAGGA